rnacentral:rRNA from 1 species
AACGAACGCUGGCGGCAGGCCUAACACAUGCAAGUCGAGCGAGGUAGCAAUACCUAGCGGCGGACGGGUGAGUAACGCGUGGGAACGUGCCCUUUGCUACGGAAUAGCCCCGGGAAACUGGGAGUAAUACCGUAUGUGCCCUUCGGGGGAAAGAUUUAUCGGCAAAGGAUCGGCCCGCGUUGGAUUAGGUAGUUGGUGGGGUAAUGGCCUACCAAGCCGACGAUCCAUAGCUGGUUUGAGAGGAUGAUCAGCCACACUGGGACUGAGACACGGCCCAGACUCCUACGGGAGGCAGCAGUGGGGAAUCUUAGACAAUGGGGGAAACCCUGAUCUAGCCAUGCCGCGUGAGCGAUGAAGGCCUUAGGGUUGUAAAGCUCUUUCAGUGGGGAAGAUAAUGACGGUACCCACAGAAGAAGCCCCGGCUAACUCCGUGCCAGCCGCCGCCGUAAUAC